rnacentral:rRNA from 1 species
AACGAACGCUGGCGGCAGGCCUAACACAUGCAAGUCGAGCGCGCCCUUCGGGGUGAGCGGCGGACGGGUGAGUAACGCGUGGGAACGUGCCCUUUUCUACGGAAUAGCCUCGGGAAACGGAGAGUAAUACCGUAUACGCCCUUUGGGGGAAAGAUUUAUCGGAAAAGGAUCGGCCCGCGUUGGAUUAGGUAGUUGGUGGGGUAAUGGCCUACCAAGCCGACGAUCCAUAGCUGGGUUGAGAGGAUGAUCAGCCACACUGGGACUGAGACACGGCCCAGACUCCUACGGGAGGCAGCAGUGGGGAAUCUUAGACAAUGGGGGCAACCCUGAUCUAGCCAUGCCGCGUGAGUGAUGAAGGCCUUAGGGUUGUAAAGCUCUUUCAGCUGGGAAGAUAAUGACGGUACCAGCAGAAGAAGCCCCGGCUAACUCCGUG